UUUAUGAAGGUGAUGAUGAUGGUUUUCACCAAUAGCUUUUGUUCUGUUUUUAGGAGUUAUUGUCUACUGGAUCUUUCAAUCCAGUAACGUUUUCGGACGAAUUACCUCCCUUGGUUGGGUUCCCUCGCUCGAUUCUCAUAUUUCGUUAUAAGUUGGCACUAAAUUCUUAUGAAUCGAACCCACAAUCAUUCUCUUUACAUCUUUGAUACUUUUUUUUUUUGAAAAAAAAAAAUGAUAAUAAUAUCCGUACAUACAAGCAGUGCGCCAGUUUGGAAUAAAUCAUAUAACGCAAUAGACUAUACACAAAAGAAAUUAAAGGCCUUCUCCAACCCAAUAGCUCAAAGGUAUCCUGAACAACUCAAAUCUAAUUUUGGUGUGACAAAGAUCGAAUGAUUGAACUUGCGAGUUCCACUAAUAUUUUUAGACUCUUUAAAAUCUAUUUCGUAAAAAACACUCUACCCUCCCCAGUACUGUAUUCAUGACAAGGUUUUGAUUCCCAGUUGUUCUAAUUAUUAAUGUUGCUAUUGCCCGAGAUGAAUGUCAUUCCCCUAUAUUCCUGUAAAUAUGUUUUCUAUUGCCUGUAACUAGAGAAACCACUCAGAACAUCACGCCACCAUGGUAGUUCACCGUUUACACACUUGUAUAAAAAGAAAAAGAAGUUUGAUAGAAAAUCCAGCGUAUUCUUGGUGUAAAGUAAAAUGGUAAAUCCACCUGUUUUGGGUGAUCUCUCCACAUAUCACAGAGGGGCUUAUUGUUUAAAAGAAAAUGAAAUUUUAUGAUGCUUUACUCAAGAACAUUUACGAGUCAUUUGACUGCAGUCAUGCUGGAGCACCACCUUUAGUUGAACAGACCGCCCCCAGGAUCUAUUCUUUCGCUGGGAACAACAUCUGCAGAUUUAUUGACACAUUUCAUCCGACAGAAGAAUGAGCGUCUGGCACCAGAGCAGAGUUGAGUGGGUUUCU